AGAGACUAAACACGCUCAUAAUGCAGAUUGAUCUUUUUUUAAAAUAGAUUUUGUUGUAGAUUAAAUGGAUUCUGUGCUUAUGGAGGAGACAGGCCUAUAGAAAACACCAAUUAUCAUAAUUUUGUACUGCCAGGUGUUUUAGUUUGAAAUUACUAAACAUAAAAUUAAAGAAAAUUAAUUAAACUGAAUGUUUAUAAGGACAUUUUUUUAAAAACCAAAUAUACAUUCUUCCAACAAACUGUGUGAAAAUAAUAACACUAACAAUAAUUGGGGUGAAAAAACGGUUUAUGUAUGAACUGUGGAAACACUAUCAGUUGAAAAGUUCGACGCAGUCCUACUUCCGGUUAACCGUUGACUACUUCCUGUUAGCGACCUGCCAGUUCGAACUGACUUGGAGGAGCAGCUCGGCUGUAGCCCGUAACCAGGGGAUCCCUCCUGGAUUAACCGUUAAAAAACCCCACGGCUGGACGUGGAUAAAACACAUUUCCGACCGUAAAAAUGAUUUUCGCUUAUUUUCGUCGAUGUUUGCAGCUUCCGGUUCUCCUCUCAGCGCUGCUCGGCGGAGUUUAGGCGAGAAAACUCAGAUAAAAGAUGGAGUCCAGCAGCGACUGUCUGUCCCCGGAGUCGACCGUCACGUCUCUGCUGUCGCGCUCCGGCCACCUGCGCAGCGGCCUGCAGCCUCCGGGCCGCAGCGCCACCUUCAGGUUCAGAGACCAGGACUUUGCGUCGGCGUCGGCGGCGCUGGACGCCUACAUCGCAGACUUCGACCGCAGCUGCCAGCAGUGCAGGUCGCUGACGGCGUCGCUGGUUCUGCCGCGCAGCCGGCCGGCCAAUCACGGGACGGCCAGAAACAGAGACGUCCUGCGGGAGCGUCUGACCGACGGGGAGCUGGACUUCCUCAGCCUCCCCGUCAGCUCCCUCCAUCACCGCCGCGACCGCGUCUCCAUGACGACGGAGGAGCUGCUGUCCAUCCCCUGCGACGGCUCGCUGCCCGUCACUCACACGUCUGCCUUCAUUCGAGGCGUCCUGUGCCGGUCCGGGGAUUCUGAACCGGCCGGAUCCAGACUCGGCAGCAGCCAUGCUGCUCACCAACGCCGUCACCUGGACCCGGAGCCUCCAGACCAGAACCAGGACCAGAACCAGAACCAUUUUCCUGCCAGGACCUCCAGGUCGAGGGAGAAGCUGCAGACGGACAGACUGAGCCAGUCGGCUGACGUUCCCGCUUCUGCACACAGAGACCUGCACCUCCCUCGCUGGCUGACCAGCAACAAGUCGGCCCUGGGCUGCUCCGAGGUCAGCAGCCUGCCGGACCUGACCUACCCCAGCUGGGUCCUGCGCGCCGCCGCCGCCGCCGAGCCGCCGCCCUGGGAGGAGAGCGGCGACGCUCCGCCUGGAGCGGCCAGAGGCAGAGCUCCGUCCUGGGUGUUGGACCUGGAGAAGGACGGAGAGCUGAGGGCAGCGCCAGCCCAGCUGAGAGGGAGGUCAAAGGCUGAAGGCGAGCAGACGCUCAGAGAGCUGCGGCUGCAGCUGGCCGAACACAUCUCUGCCCUCACCGCCGAGGGGAACGGCUCCGGCGGCCUGGCGGCGCCGUUCAGAGACAGCAGGAUCGAGUCUCUGAUCCAGAAGGCCGAUCAGGUUCUGGACGCCCUGAGUUCUGGAGGAGCAGGAGGUUCUGGAGGAGCAGGAGGUUCUGGAGGAGCAGGAGGUUCUGGAGGAGCAGGAGGUUCUGGAGGAGCAGGAGGUUCUGGAGGAGCAGCGAGUCCCGUCGGCACCGAGGACCUGCUGCGCUCGUCGCCUCCUCGCUGUCCCUCCUCCACUCUAACCUCCGGAGCCACAGAGCUGGAGUCGGAUCGGACUCUGCUGGACGAGGAGGUGUUGAGCAGCGGUUACCGUGGAAACGACACCUGCACGCAGCCCGGCCCGGUGGAGGCCGUGAAGCAGAUGCUGUUCCGGCUGCAGGCCGUGGAGGCGGAGCUUCAGAGGCAGCGGAUGGACGCCGGCGGACAGAAGACGCCCGAGAAACAGUUCGGUUCCAGGUGUUUUGUGUGAUUUGUCGCCCCCUGCUGGUCCGGUUGUGGUAAAACGGGAGCCGAUCUGUGUUCGCAGGAAGCCGACGUGGAUCCAGAGCUGCAGAGUUUCCCAGGAAGUCCGUCGCUGAAGAGAGUCGGGCUGUACCUGAACCGCCUGAAGAUGCUGGUGGAGGAUC